rnacentral:rRNA from 1 species
UGAGUAACGCGUAUCCAACCUGCCCACCACUUGGGGAUAACCUUGCGAAAGUAAGACUAAUACCCAAUGAUAUCUCUAGAAGACAUCUGAAAGAGAUUAAAGAUUUAUCGGUGAUGGAUGGGGAUGCGUCUGAUUAGCUUGUUGGCGGGGUAACGGCCCACCAAGGCAACGAUCAGUAGCCGGACUGAGAGGUUGGCCGGCCACAUUGGGACUGAGACACGGCCCAG